rnacentral:rRNA from 1 species
ACGGCGAGUGAAGCGGCAAGAGCUCAAAUUUGAAAUCUGGCUUUCGGGCCCGAGUUGUAAUUUGAAGACGUCCCUCUGGCUGUGUGUGCCCCGUCCAUGUUCUUUGGAACAAGACAUCAUAGAGGGUGAUAAUCCCGUGGUGAUGGGGAGUGCGCCGGCCGUGUAGAGGGUUGUCGAAGAGUCGAGUUGUUUGGGAAUGCAGCUCUAAGUGGGUGGUAAAUUCCAUCUAAAGCUAAAUAUUGGCGAGAGACCGAUAGCGAACAAGUACAGUGAUGGAAAGAUGAAAAGAACUUUGAAAAGAGAGUGAAAAAGUACGUGAAAUUGUUGAAAGGGAAGGGUAUUAGAUCAGACUUGGCUGUGUGUCGAAAAUCAGUCACUUGUGGGCUGUGUACUCGCGCGCAUGCUGGGCCAGCAUCGAUUUUGGUGGUGGUAGAAGGGUGGCCUGGGAAUGUGGCACCGUCCUUCUGGGGCGGUGUGUUAUAGCCCGUUAUCUUUACUGCCUACCGGGAUCGAGGACUGCGGCUUUUUUGCCUAGGAUGCUGGCGUAAUGAUCUAAUACCGCCCGUCUUGAAACACGGACC